rnacentral:rRNA from 1 species
UACGUAGGGCGCAAGCGUUGUCCGGAAUUAUUGGGCGUAAAGAGCUCGUAGGCGGUCUGUCGCGUCUGUUGUGAAAACUCGAGGCUCAACCUCGGGCUUGCAGUGGAUACGGGCAGACUAGAGUGCGGUAGGGGAGACUGGAAUUCCUGGUGUAGCGGUGAAAUGCGUAGAUAUCGGGAGGAACACCGGUGGCGAAGGCGGCCCCCUGGUUGGAUACUGACGCUGAGACGCGAAAGCGUGGGGAGCAAACAGG